UGGCAGGAGCCGUCCUCACUCCCUCUAUUGCCUCUCCAGACCCAGACUUCACCCUCAGGUCACCCUCACCUGGACUUUGGGGUGCCCCACACCCCGCCCCAGGCCCUGGCCUCUGGAAUAUUUGGAAACUUGAACUGGGCCAGAGGCUUAAGCUCACAUCUGUCUGGAGCCUCAACUUUCUCCUCUGUAAAAUGGGCUAACACUGAAAGAACCUUGCAGAAUCUCAGCAACGUCACAGAGGACAUUGUUAGCACAGCCAGCGGGCUCCUGCUGGGCUGAGUUUGUGGGUAAUCCAAGCCUCGGCAGGUACAGUUCCUCCCUCAGCAGGGCCCAGGACACAGUGAGCAUACAAUAGACAUUAGCUGCUGUGGUGUCUUGAUUUCAAGCCCAGUGCAGAUGCAUCUGACUUACGAAACUUCAGUGACACCUGCUCUGUGCCAGACACUGAAGAUGGAGCAGUGAACAGCACUGACCCAGCCUGUCCUCCUGUUGCCUGCAGGCCAGAAGCAAGGUCUCGCUGUGUUACCCUGGCUGGAGUGCAGUGGCUACUUACAGGCAUGAUCAUAGCAUACUGCAGCCUCGAACUCCUGGACUAGAGCAGUUCUCCUGCCUCAGCCUCCAGAGCAGCUGGGACUGCAGACACGCACCACAGAGCCCAGCCUGAGUCAUUUUGAUUCUGUAACUGGCUUCCUCUCGGCGGGCAGGCUCACACCCUCCACCCCCAGCUGGAGAUGGAAGGAGGAUGCUCACCGCCCAUUCCUCAUGCAGGCCAUCGAUGGAAAUGUCAGACAGUGCGAGUCCACGCCUGAACACUUCUGGGGUCCGCUCUGGGACUGACACUGGCAGAUCCAUCGAGGCGGGGCUUCACCGUGUUAGCCAGGAUGGUCUCAAUCUCCUGACCUCGUCAUCCGCCCGUCUCGGCCUCCCAUAGUGCUGGGAUUACAGGCAUGAGCCACCACGCCCGGCUGUUUUAUUUCUUAUAACUGUACAGGAAUCUACAAUGAUUGUAACAAAAAUUUCAAUUAAGGCCACUCUAGGCACAUGGCCUGUGGGGUAGCCCUGCUCAACAAGAAGCCGUCAAAAAAAUGUUUUUUAAUUAAAAAAUUUCUUCAAUUAAAAA
rnacentral:lncRNA from 1 species